CACCGCAUGGACCGCCAUCCCGUGGAUGGCCUCGGCGGCCUCCACCAGGUCCCCAAGUCCGGCCACGGCGGGAAGUUCACCUGGGAGGGCCCCGCCGACGAGGCCUACAACGAGCUCGAGCCCCUUCCGCCCGCCAUCGACCCGAACGAUCCCAACUACGUCGAGGAAGAAGAGGAAGAGCCCACCGGAGGCAGAGGAGGACAAGAUGACGAAGCGGAGGAGGACGUGAUGACGAAGCCCAGCGAUGCGGUCGUCGUUGGAGAAGUGGAGGUGGCCAAAGUGGCGGAGGCCAAGCAAGG
rnacentral:lncRNA from 1 species